UUACGGGAUCUGCAUGUGGGUUAUGGAGAGCAAAGGAGGGGGAUGGGCUAGGGCAGGGUAGCUACAAGUGGAUGCUGAAGUGGUAUUAAUAUUUUUCCUAAGCAUUCUUAAUGCUGGGGAAAUCCCCGGUUUACUCAGCUGGUGGCUGUUGUUGGAAAUGGGUGGGGGUGGGAAAGAGGAGUGUCAUAAGGCCUCUUUGCAUACAGUCUUGUAUCACUGGGAGAUCACUAAAGAUUCAUUGCUACCUCUGCAGCAGGAAGAGGGUAAAAACCCAAAGUCCCCAAAUAAAAAGAUGUCAACAAGACUGUAUAAAAGAGUCACAGAAUUCUCCUUUUGCAAGACCCCUUCUUGCCAGUAACGAUUGUGUUGAGCACCAGAACUUGAAGGUCAUAACAUGAAUCUAUUAUAAAUCGUACAGUGACAUUAAGGUAAAACCACAUAAAUUCACAGAGGAGGAUUUAAAUUGAAUAUGUUGAAGGAUACCAAGAGCAAUGAGAGGAUUGAGCAAUUUAAUCAAACUUGGUUAGAGCCUAUCAUUAGGUUUCAACAUACAAAUUGAGUCACCAAAAAUCCUGAGCCACCUGUAGCACCCAUUGACUUCAGUGAGAGCCAGAAAAAUGGCCUGUAGAAAAUAAUACAUUUCAACUUAAUUUAUUACAGGCACUUUUAUUGCAGUGUUUAACCUAACCUACAGCAUGACAGCAUUUUAUAUUAAGAUACUGUGUCUCGGCAUGUGUCCUUACAUCUUCAUUUUAUCACUGUAACUAUAGAUGGAGUGGGAUAUGAAAAAAAGAUAAUAUUUAAACUUGGCACUGAGCACCUGACAGAUUUUUAAAAACACUGAUUAACCCGUCCAAAGUAAAUGAGUUUCUGUGGGAAGCAAUGUUGAUACAUCACAGUGAUUGUGUAUCUAACAUAAUAACCUGUUGAGUGGUACAGCCCAUCCGAGUUCUCUUCUUCUUAUACACCUGUUCUGUGCUACUUCCUCUAUACAAACUGGAUAAAACACAUUAUCUGAACUGCUGAAUCAUUUCUCAUUGACUCUCCCCUUCAGAAAGUCCAUCUCAUUUGUAUUAACUAUCAGAUGACUUGCUAAGGGUGAAAUUCACCCCUGCGCAGAGAGCCUGUACAAAGUCUGUUCCACUUAAGCCCUCAGCACAAUUUUACUACCUAAUUAUUCUGGCUUCUGUGUGAAUUUUGCCUGAGCAAGAAAUGCUAAAUAGGGCCCAAGGUGAUAUUUUUGCCUGAAGGUCAGAAUAUGAAAAUAAACUGUAAUC
rnacentral:lncRNA from 1 species